AUCUGAGGCUGUUUGGAUUUCUCUUCUCACAUUGCCCCAUUCAGGAAGAACGAGAUGGUUGGAUGACAUCACCAACUCAAUGGACAGGAGUUUGAGCAAACUCUGGGAGAUGGUGAAGAACAGGGAAGCCUCGCAUGCUGCAGUCCAUGUUGUCACAAAGAGUUGGACACAACUGAGCAACUCAACAACAACAACAACAAAUUUUCCCCCAUGUCAUUUUCUUUAUCCUGUCCAUGCAUUUUCUGCUCCAGGAAAAACAAAAUACUUUCAGUUCUUUCAACAAGUCAUGUCUUCUCACCUAUAGGCCUUUUAUAUGCUUAUUCUUUUAUUUUUUUCUCUCUCCCGUAAACUCUUGUCCUGUUUAAUUCUGUUCAACCUUCACCCACCCCCCAACACUACCUCCAUAGUGGUGCUUUUUCCUUGAAGAUGUCACUUUCUUGUCCCCUCCCAACCAUCACCACCACCACUCCCCCAAUCCCUACCCAGAUUCUAAGCUUUCCUAAGAAAUUCAAAGCAUACAUUACUC
ensembl:lncRNA